rnacentral:rRNA from 1 species
ACUGGGCGUAAAGAGCUCGUAGGUGGUUUGUCGCGUUGUUCGUGAAAUCUCACGGCUUAACUGUGAGCGUGCGGGCGAUACGGGCAGACUUGAGUACUGCAGGGGAGACUGGAAUUCCUGGUGUAGCGGUGGAAUGCGCAGAUAUCAGGAGGAACACCGGUGGCGAAGGCGGGUCUCUGGGCAGUAACUGACGCUGAGGAGCGAAAGCGUGGGGAGCGAACAGGAUUAGAUACCCUGGUAGUCCACGCCGUAAACGGUGGGUACUAGGUGUGGGUUUCCUUCCUUGGGAUCCGUGCCGUAGCUUACGCAUUAAGUACCCCGCCUGGGGAGUACGGCCGCAAGGCUAAAACUCAAAGAAAUUGACGGGGGCCCGCACAAGCGGCGGAGCAUGUGGAUUAAGUCGAUGCAACGCGAAGAACCUUACCUGGGUUUGACAUGCACAGGACGCCGGCAGAGAUGUCGGUUCCCUUGUGGCCUGUGUGCAGGUGGUGCAUGGCUGUCGUCAGCUCGUGUCGUGAGAUGUUGGGUUAAGUCCCGCAACGAGCGCAACCCUUGUCUCAUGUUGCCAGCGGGUA